rnacentral:rRNA from 1 species
UUAAAGAUUUAUCGGUGAUGGAUGGGGAUGCGUCUGAUUAGCUUGUUGGCGGGGUAACGGCCCACCAAGGCAACGAUCAGUAGGGGUUCUGAGAGGAAGGUCCCCCACAUUGGAACUGAGACACGGUCCAAACUCCUACGGGAGGCAGCAGUGAGGAAUAUUGGUCAAUGGGCGAGAGCCUGAACCAGCCAAGUAGCGUGCAGGAAGACGGCCCUAUGGGUUGUAAACUGCUUUUAUAAGGGAAUAAAGUGAGUCUCGUGAGACUUUUUGCAUGUACCUUAUGAAUAAGGACCGGCUAAUUCCGUGCCAGCGGCCGCGGUAAUACGGAAGGUCCGGGCGUUAUCCGGAUUUAUUGGGUUUAAAGGGAGCGUAGGCCGGAGAUUAAGCGUGUUGUGAAAUGUAGACGCUCAACGUCUGCACUGCAGCGCGAACUGGUUUCCUUGAGUACGCACAAAGUGGGCGGAAUUCGUGGUGUAGCGGUGAAAUGCUUAGAUAUCACGAAGAACUCCGAUUGCGAAGGCAGCUCACUGGAGCGCAACUGACGCUGAAGCUCGAAAGUGCGGGUAUCGAACAGGAUUAGAUACCCUGGUAGUCCGCACGGUAAACGAUGGAUGCCCGCUGUUGGUCUGAACAGGUCAGCGGCCAAGCGAAAGCAUUAAGCAUCCCACCUGGGGAGUACGCCGGCAACGGUGAAACUCAAAGGAAUUGACGGGGGCCCGCACAAGCGGAGGAACAUGUGGUUUAAUUCGAUGAUACGCGAGGAACCUUACCCGGGCUUGAAUUGCAGAGGAAGGAUUUGGAGACAAUGACGCCCUUCGGGGUCUCUGUGAAGGUGCUGCAUGGUUGUCGUCAGCUCGUGCUGUGAGGUGUCGGCUUAAGUGCCAUAACGAGCGCAACCCCUCUCCUUAGUUGCCAUCAGGUUAAGCUGGGCACUCUGGGGACACUGCCACCGUAAGGUGUGAGGAAGGUGGGGAUGACGUCAAAUCAGCACGGCCCUUACGUCCGGGGCUACACACGUGUUACAAUGGCAGGUACAGAGAGACGGUUGUACGUAAGCACGAUCAAAUCCUUAAAGCCUGUCUCAGUUCGGACUGGGGUCUGCAACCCGACCCCACGAAGCUGGAUUCGCUAGUAAUCGCGCAUCAGCCAUGGCGCGGUGAAUACGUUCCCGGGCCUUGUACACACCGCCCGUCGAGCCAUGAAAGCCGGGGGCGCCUAAAGUCCGUGACC